rnacentral:lncRNA from 1 species
GAACUUGUGGCCUAUUUGUCUCCCAGUUGUCCAUCCCCUAACUGAAAGAGAGAACUCGAUCUUCUAGGGAUGGGUCAGGAAGGCAGAUGCAGGAUAAAUUUCUAGUUCUUUUUUUCACAUCACAUGACAAGUGUGCCCAUGGACUCCCUGGUGUAAUGGCCUAGGUGUCCUUGGCCAGCACCCCAGCUCACAUCUAAGUCUGGCAGCAGCCCAGUCCAGCCAGGAACACAUGCAAUUCAGGUCACUUUCAAACAGACCAACCUGCAUCAAACAGCAAAUUUCAGCCUGUACCACAGCUCCCUGUUAGCAGAAUAGGUGGCCUGGCCCUAUGUGUUCACCUCUGACCCAAGCUCUCCCUUGCAGGAUGUUGGAGAAGACACAGCCUGAGCCCUGGCUGUGGGCAAUGGGCAGAUGAACAUUGCCCGUGGAGCCAGGAGUGCUGAACCUGAAUGAAGUGCCUUAUCCCAUGGAACUCUUCCAAGCAAAUCUAUGAAGAGGACAAAGUCUGCUAUCCUGAAAUCGAGUGUUGUGAGCUUGCUUUUCACCCUCCUCCCUCCUCUCAGGAUCCUGAAUUCUACAAUCCCUGUCCCAACCUUCAGGAUGACACAUCCAACAUGUCAACACCCGCCAUCAGUCCUCAGCAGCCAGACAGGGUAUUUUUAGUCCAAAUCUGUCUGGCCAGAUGUGGACUCUCCGUAUUUUCUGCUCCUAGAGCCAAAAGGCAGCUAUUUUCAGGCAUCUCACCCCAUAUUGACCAGGACUGCGUCUUCUACAACUACCUGAAAGGAGGUUGUAGAGAGAUGGGGGGCAGUGUCUUCUCCCAAGUUACAGGCCUUUGGACAAAAGGAAACUGCCUUAAGCUGUGCCAGGGGAGGGUUGGAUUGGAUAUUAGGAAAUUUUUUUACACUGAAAGGGUUAUUAAGCCUUGGAAUGGGCUGCCCAGGGUAGUGGUUGAGACACCAUCCCUGGAAGUAUUUAAAAGACAGGUUGACAUAGAGCUUAGAGACAUGGUUUAA